CCCUUUCUAAGUUUAAAAAAUAACUUACCAACUUUGACUUCUGAGUAAUGGCACUGAUUUCAUUUUCCAAAGGUCACAGGGGAAUUUUCUUCUGCCAUCUCUAAAGGGCAUGACAAAUGUUCCUCUAACAAAUAACGAAUUGUUCAACACAAUGCACUUAGCAAUUACCUUGCCAUAAAGGUAUUUACAGCAGGAUUCUGAGCUAAUUUGCCCAGUGUCAUUCUGCCUUCUGCAUGAUUCUAUUUCACGUUUUGGGCAUGGAUUAGCUUCUAGUAUAGUGGGCAGAGGAAUCAACCAUGCAAGAAAUUAGAAGCAAAGACUCUGCAGCUUGUUACUAAAUGCAGAUUCAGCACAAAGAUUGCCAACAUAAAAACCGGGAUCAGUUUGGCAAGAGGAAGCCCACCCGUGGACCAGCAGCAGCAGUGUGUUCACUGGCCUGUGGGUUACAAGUGCAGUGUCACAGCAAACCCGGUUAGACAAGCGCUCACCUGGCUCCCUGACCUCUUCUACUUGGCAGGCUUUUCUUCGCCUUUUUGACUGAAAGACCAACAUGGGAGUGAACGAUGGAAACUAAACUGUCCCUCCAGCCCUCGAACUGCUCCCAGAACAUCCUGGUGCAGGUGUGCUGGCCAGGCAAAGUGAAGGAGAGAUUUCACCGCUCCAGCAUGCAGGCUUGAUGUUCCCUGUAUGGUACAAGGAUUACUCCUUUUCUGUUCAGAAGACUUUGUUGAAAAUUUCCUAGCUGAGUAAGGAAGGCAGCCUUGGUCAUGCCAGUUUUGAUAGGAGAACAUCUGGAAAUCCAGGAUAUCUAGCUACAAACGAAAAUUAAAAAGCAAAUGAGAGAGAACAAGGUCUCCUGCCGCAAAUCCACCUCCAGGGACCGUGAGAUGUGAGCAUACACAACCAUGCUUGCUUGAAAGCCAGCCUUUAGCCCUGCAUAUCCUUUAAUGUCAGCUGGAGCAACACUGGCAUCUGAUUUGUGUGCUUGGCUUACCUGUGCAUGCAAGGCAAAGUGGUCCUUCCUCCUGAGGAGCUCCUCAUCUCCAUCCUGGGGUGUCUGAGUACCCAAAAUGGGCACAGCCUUCACAGACGCAGCAAUGGGACACCAGCUUCGCAUCAUCUUACAGCAGAGGUAUGCCAAGUCUGCUCUAAGUGUUCUUCCCUCCUUGGAGCCAACAAUAGUGUUGUUACAAGAUCACGAAGCAGUUGUCUUCUCAUUUCUGAAAUAUCAGCAAACCCUCCUCCACAAAACUGAAAAUGUUUUGAAUAAUAAAAUGAAGGGUGAGAUUUUUCAGGCUUGGCUGAAAACAACUAGACCCCACUACAACAAAAAGGGAUGGGAUCUUCACAUUGUGAGGGUAAACCCUGCUUGGGAUAACAUAGCUGGGUCCUUUCAGCCUGUCAUGUGCCAAGAAGUGACAGUGGCAGAGGACCUCUGCUGUAAAUGCUGGCCAUGCAGCUGGAUUUGUUUCAGAGAGCUCCUGAGCUGGUCUUCUGUGGGUGUCUGACUGUGUCUUGUUCAGAUGUAAGCCAGUUACCUGAGUUAACAUCUCUGCUUGAGAAGCAGCUGCAAGAUUGAUCUAUAACAGGACAUAAAAGGCAUUGGCAGCAUUGUUUUACUGCAGAUUUGAUUACACACAGAGUACUCACAUCGCACCGGCUUCCCGUUCCAGGAGGUGUUUAUCUCCUUGGUGAGGACUGGCACAGUGCUGUACCACCAAGUCUGGUACAGCUGAGUAAGUGGUUUAGAGUAAUCCUCCUAAGAAAGGUUGCUGUCCUGAAGGGAUUCCUGGGAAGGUUCUCUGCUUGUACCAGGCUUUUAGAUGGCUUUCAGUCAGGUUCCUGAGGGGCUUUUUGGAGUUUGUGCAGCUUUUCUCUGAUGCAGUUCCUACCCAAGAGUUCCUCUCCUCUCUGGGUUGUGGUUGGGUCAGCAAGGCCUGUCACAGAGCUUGAAAAUAAUUGGUAUCGCUGUAUGAAAUAAAACCCAUUGUGUCAUCAGAUGAUCAAGCUGUGUCUCUGGCAAGUAGGCCACUGCACCAUCCAGGUACCUGGAAUAAAGAGCAAACAGGAGCUCCUCAGAGUCACAGUGUUUGAGUCCUAUAUCCUCUCCUCUUAUUUUGUUAAUGGCCACAUAGCAAAAUUCUGGGUCAGGUAAGAAAUACGGUUCUAGUUCACAGGUCUCAAGUGUAGGAAAGACCUUGCAUUAAAAUUACUAAGUGCAAUUUUCCAGUAGGAAAAGAAAGAAAGCAGUCUCUGCUUUAGAGUGAUACUGCUCAACUGAGGUCAUACAUGAUAACCAAAAUAGAAGGUUGUACACAACAACGAAGUAGAAAUGAUGGUAGCUGCAACACGAGCCUUGAUGGUGGGGGAGAUUUUAAGCAGUCCAGAUAUAAAGCAUAUCCUUGGGGCCCUGGCAAGGAUGCAAACUUCUCUCCCACACAACCUCCGUCACUCUUGAAAAGCCAAGUUCUGGAAUUUUAAAAGGCAAAAAUAUUACAGCAAUAGCAACAACAAACAUGCAAAUCAGAUGCUAAAUGACUAGUAAUGAUUUUAUCAAUGUGUUGUGUAAACAGGAGGAAGAGGACAGAGAAAGAAGCACUCAACAUUCUUCAGGUUGAUUUUUUAAUUAUUCAAAAAUUAUCGAUGAGACAGCAAGCUAAGAUCAGGGUUUUGCAGGGAUGUUUCAAUUUUAUAAUGGAAAAAGCAUUGUGGUGUUUGGGGGAGGUGGGCACGUGGACUCUUGCAGUACAAAAGAAGCCAACAUAAGAAUCAAGUUUCAAGACCCUGCGGGAAAUUAGGGUUUUUGUCUAGACAGCUAAUUACAGCUUUUCUUGCAGGACCCAAACGCCCUGGAGCACCUACAGCAGAUUUGCAGCAUGCACUGGUGGACAUCCCAGAGCGGUACCCACAGGGUGGUCGCAUGCCCAGGCCAUCCCACUAACGGUGCUCCAGCACCCACCACGUGCUCUGCUGGGGCAAGCAGAGAUGUGGCAACCAUGUGAAUGUAUUGCAGGGGCUGUGCUCUUUUACCUCUCCAGCUCAGAAAUAAUCCAGAGAGAAGAUCAGACAACUGGGAUACAUAAUUGCUCUGGCCCCCCAGCUGGGCCUCACGUUAUUUGUAGGCGAUGGAGCUGCCACAGGGAUUUCAGGUCAGCUGGUGCUUCUCCCGUGCAAAAUGGCCAGGGCACAAAUCCCAGCUCCGUGUGUGCAAAACUCCUCUUGCUGAGGGAUCAAGCUGCAAAAAGCACCGAGCCUUGUCAGUUAUUGCACUAAAGUGUCAUGAACCUUUAACCUUUACAUUUCUAAAAACCUCUGUAUUUUAAUGCUGCACUGAGAACUGUGAAAAAUGCAGAUCUCCUUUCCUCACGGCACUGCAAGUCUCUCUGUGGAUCAUCCUGUCCAACUUUUCAACUCUGCUCUCAAGCGCUAGGAUUUUCAAGUCUUUUCCCCAUUGACUUCUCUCUGUGGCAGUUUUAAAAAUAAAAAAGCUACGAUAUUUUUCUUCAGAGUGACUUGCUGCCUGCCUUUUACAACUGUUUCUGAGCUGUGGUCUUCACAACUGGUCGAUGGAGCCUAAUUAAAUUGUUUAGCUGACAGACUCAUUGGCUUUGUGCAGAGAUAUGCUGACCCCAUGGAAAAUGUGAAGGUUGGCAAAGGUCAAUAGAGAAUCACUGACUUACCAGGCAUGUCACAUGCAGUGCCUAAAUGCACAUAUUUGAGCACAAAUUUAAGUAUUAUUAUUUAUUUUUUUUUUUUAGAAAUCAUGUUGCAUUGCUAUAUUGUCUGUGCUUU